rnacentral:piRNA from 1 species
UGGGAAGGGAAGACACAUUAGAUCCCGUCC